CGUAGGGUGCGAGCGUUAAUCGGAAUUACUGGGCGUAAAGCGUGCGCAGGCGGUUUGUUAAGACAGGCGUGAAAUCCCCGGGCUCAACCUGGGAACUGCGCUUAUGACUGGCAAGCUAGAGUACGGCAGAGGGGGUGGAAUUCCACGUGUAGCAGUGAAAUGCGUAGAGAUGUGGAGGAACACCAAUGGCGAAGGCAGCCCCCUGGGUCGAUACUGACGCUCAUGCACGAAAGCGUGGGUAGCAAACAGGAUUAGAUACCCUGGUAGUCCACGCCCUAAACGAUGUCAACUAGGUGUUGGAUGGGUAAAACCAUUUAGUACCGGAGCUAACGCGUGAAGUUGACCGCCUGGGGAGUACGGCCGCAAGGUUA
rnacentral:rRNA from 1 species